UACGGGGGGGGCAAGCGUUGUUCGGAAUUACUGGGCGUAAAGGGUUCGUAGGUGGCCUGCUAAGUCAGACGUGAAAUCCCUCAGCUUAACUGGGGAACUGCGUCUGAUACUGGAAGGCUUGAGUGCAGGAGAGGAACGCGGAAUUCCAGGUGUAGCGGUGAAAUGCGUAGAUAUCAGGAGGAACACCGGUGGCGAAGGCGGGUCUCUGGGCAAUUCCUGACGCUGAGGCGCGAAAGCGUGGGGAGCAAACGGG
rnacentral:rRNA from 1 species